GACGAACGCUGGCGGCGUGCCUAAUACAUGCAAGUCGAACGGUAACAUGAGUAGCAAUACUUGAUGACGAGUGGCGCACGGGUGCGUAACGCGUAUGCAAUCUACCUUUAACAGGUGAAUAGCCCGAAGAAAUUCGGAUUAAUACACCGUAGUAUUGUGGAGGGGCAUCCUUCUACAAUUAAAAUUCCGAUGGUUAAAGAUGAGCAUGCGUGACAUUAGCUAGUUGGUGAGGUAACGGCUCACCAAGGCGACGAUGUCUAGGGGAUCUGAGAGGAUUAACCCCCACACUGGUACUGAGACACGGACCAGACUCCUACGGGAGGCAGCAGUAAGGAAUAUUGGACAAUGGUGGCAACACUGAUCCAGCCAUGCCGCGUGCAGGAUGAAUGCCCUAUGGGUUGUAAACUGCUUUUGUACGGGAAAAAACCUCUUUACGUGUAAAGAGCUGAUUGUACUGUAAGAAUAAGGAUCGGCUAACUCCGUGCCAGCCGCCGCAGUAACAC
rnacentral:rRNA from 1 species